rnacentral:tRNA from 1 species
GGUACUGUAGCUCAGCUGGUUAGAGCGCACGCCUGAUAAGCGUGAGGUCGGUGGUUCGAGUCCACUCAGGUACCACCA